rnacentral:rRNA from 1 species
UACGUAGGGUGCGAGCGUUGUCCGGAAUUAUUGGGCGUAAAGAGCUCGUAGGCGGUCUGUCGCGUCUGCUGUGAAAACCCGAGGCUCAACCUCGGGCUUGCAGUGGGUACGGGCAGACUAGAGUGCGGUAGGGGAGAACGGAAUUCCUGGUGUAGCGGUGGAAUGCGCAGAUAUCAGGAGGAACACCGAUGGCGAAGGCAGUUCUCUGGGACCGUAACUGACGCUGAGGAGCGAAAGCGUGGGGAGCAAACAGG